rnacentral:rRNA from 1 species
UACGGAGGGUGCAAGCGUUAUCCGGAUUCACUGGGUUUAAAGGGUGCGUAGGCGGGUAUGUAAGUCAGUGGUGAAAUCUUGGAGCUUAACUCCGAAACUGCCAUUGAUACUAUGUAUCUUGAAUAUCGUUGAGGUUUGCGGAAUAUGUCAUGUAGCGGUGAAAUGCUUAGAUAUGACAUAGAACACCAAUUGCGAGGGCAGCAGGCUAAACGAACAUUGACGCUGAGGCACGAAAGCGUGGGGAUCAAACAGG